UAAUACGGAGGGUGCAAGCGUUAUCCGGAUUUACUGGGUUUAAAGGGUGCGUAGGCGGGCCUUUAAGUCAGUGGUGAAAUCCCCGGGCCUAACCCGGGAACUGCCAUUGAUACUAUUGGUCUUGAAUUCAGUUGAGGUGGGCGGAAUGUGUCGUGUAGCGGUGAAAUGCUUAGAUAUGACACAGAACACCGAUUGCGAAGGCAGCUCGCUAAACUGAUAUUGACGCUGAGGCACGAAAGCGUGGGGAUCAAACAGGAUUAGAUACCCUGGUAGUCCACGCCCUAAACGAUGAUUACUCGAUCUGUGCGAUACACUGUACGGGUCUAUGCAAAAGCAUUAAGUAAUCCACCUGGGGAGUACGACCGCAAGGUUG
rnacentral:rRNA from 1 species